AGGGGAAUGUCCCCAUCCCCCUUGUGAUGCAAGUUGAUGACAAGGCACCCUGUACAAAGCAGCCAGUAAGGAGAGUCCCAGCCACCCAGGUGAAGAGCUCUGCCCGGACACCCAGAAGAUCAACUCCACCCACCACUCAGGCGAAGAGCUCUGCCCAGACACCAAGGCAAGGGGCUCUGCCUAGACACGCAGGCAAUGGGCUCUGCCUGGAUACCCAGGCGAACAGCUCUACCCAGACACCCAGGCGAGGAGCUCCACCCAGACACCCAGAUGAGGGGUUCUGCCUGGACACCCAGGCAAAGAGCUCCACCCAGACACCCAGGUGAACAGCUCUACCUGGACACCCAGGUGAGGGGCUCCACCUAGACACCCAGGUGAGGGGCUCUGCCCAGAUGGUGAACAUCGUUCCCCAGAUCUGAGUGAAGGGUCUAGGCAAAUUGGAGCCUAAGCAUGAAUGCUGGGGCUUCAGGGAUUCUUUUGGAAUGCCUAGUAUUUUUCAAGUUGAAACAAUUUCCCCCAUACAGUGGUGUUAGAAUAUCUUCAAUUCAAAAGUCAAAAACCAGCCUCUUCUCUCAGGAAAAAAGGACCUAUUUUUACACUGCCACAUCUCACCUUUCUCUCAAAUCAUGACGCUGACUUCAGAGUGUAGCAGUGCUUUGGGAUGUGAAUUAAAUUUCCCUUUAGGGCCUCAAUUAGGGCUAAUGGAAAUGACUCUAAUCCACCCUCCCCGGAAUACAAAGUGCCAACCCUCUGUUAUUAGUUGAGUUAAUUUAACUGAACAUGGGGGAAAAAUGUUCAGAACCAAGUGAGGGUUUCUGCAGCAGCCAUUGUGCCAGCAGUUGGCCAGGCGUGCAGGGGGAUGGGCAGACAGGUGGGCAGUUCAUGAUGGCAAAAGCUCUUAGGGUGGUAGCCUGUCAGCCAAGAGCACACCUGGCGUGAAAAGUUAGGAGAGGUGAGGAGGAUGUUAAGGUCACAGUAACCAGGUCGACCAGGACCGGGGGAAGGUCACUGAUCUGUAUCACAACCUGCAGUGACCUCAGCACCCACGGCCACACCAGCACUGUGGGUGUUCUCACAUCCAUUCUGGUGCCACGCUACGUCUGCAUCCACUGCAUGAGAAGGAAUGAAGGGAAAUGCAACAGAGAGGACACUGGAAUCGUUAGGGCAGUGAGCAGCUGUACCCACCUGGGUCUCAUUCCCACCUCCACCACAUUCUAACCAGACCAGUCUACACAUUUCAUCUGUAACCUGGGGUUAAUGAGAGUGCCUACCUCCUCAACUUUUAGUGAGAAUCAACCAAAAUACUAUGUGGUCCAGAGGCUGGAAGUUUUCUCCAGAAAUAAAGUGCAACUGGAAUUCCA
rnacentral:lncRNA from 13 species